GAUGAACGCUGGCGGCGUGCCUAAUACAUGCAAGUCGAGCGAACAGACGAGGAGCUUGCUCCUCUGACGUUAGCGGCGGACGGGUGAGUAACACGUGGAUAACCUACCUAUAAGACUGGGAUAACUUCGGGAAACCGGAGCUAAUACCGGAUAAUAUAUUGAACCGCAUGGUUCAAUAGUGAAAGACGGUUUUGCUGUCACUUAUAGAUGGAUCCGCGCCGCAUUAGCUAGUUGGUAAGGUAACGGCUUACCAAGGCAACGAUGCGUAGCCGACCUGAGAGGGUGAUCGGCCACACUGGAGCUGAGACACGGUCCAGACUCCUACGGGAGGCAGCAGUAGGGAAUCUUCCGCAAUGGGCGAAAGCUUGACGGAGCAACGCCGCGUGAGUGAUGAAGGUCUGCGGAUCGUAAAACGCUGUUAUGAGGGAAGAACAAUGUGUAAGUAACUAUGCACGUCUUGACGGUACCUAAUCAGAAAGCCACGGCUAACUACGUG
rnacentral:rRNA from 1 species